AAAUGAUUUUCUACAUCAAUUAAAAUGAUCAUGUGACAGCCAGGGCGCAGAGGUCAGGGAGCUGGGGUGCAGAGGUCGGGCAGUUAGGUGCAGAGGUCGGACAGCCGGGGUGCAGAGGUCAGGGAGCCAGGGUGCAGAGGUCGGGCAGUUAGGCGCAGAGGUCAGGGAGCCGGGGUGCAGAGGUCGGGGAGCCGGGGUGCAGAGGUCAGGGAGCUGGGGUGCAGAGGUCGGGCAGUUAGGCGCAGAGGUCAGGGAGCCGGGGUGCAGAGGUCGGGCAGCCGUGGUGCAGAGGUCAGGGAGCCGGGGUGCAGAGGUCGGGGAGCCGGGGUGCAGAGGUCGGGCAGUUAGGCGCAGAGGUCAGGGAGCCGGGGUGCAGAGGUCGGGGAGCCGGGGUGCAGAGGUCGGGCAGUUAGGCGCAGAGGUCAGGGAGCCGGGGUGCAGAGGUCGGGGAGCCGGGGUGCAGAGGUCGGGCAGUUAGGCGCAGAGGUCAG
rnacentral:lncRNA from 1 species